ACGUCAUCGACUUCGAUUACAAAGGUUUUUCGUGUAUAUAAAUAAGUGUACACUUUGACCGCCAGAGGGAGCGCAGAGCGUGAUUUGUCAACAUGAAUUCCGACAUCUAUGGGUCAAAGUUCAUCACGUGGCAUUAUAAAGUUAUACAUGCGCCAAACCUGUCAAUCUCCGGGUUAGAAUUGGUUAGGAGAUUCAUCAGGCCGGCAGUCCCUCGGUUGCAGGCGUUAAGGAUAGCAGCAGUUGUCAUACCUCUGACAUCAUGAACAACGUUUUGCUCUUCCUAGUGGUUCCCUGCUUGCUGGGAUUCCUAUUCGUACAGUCUCAGAACAUCGGUUAUGGCGGCGGCUACGGAGGCGGAGGCGGCUACGGAGACGCAUACAACAGAGCGCUAGCUGGCCAAUACCUCCAAUCACAACGGACGGGCUUUUUGGGACUAACCACAGGAGAACUCAUUGGUGCAUUCCUGACUCUCUACGCCCUCUAUUAUCUGACGAACGGGACCGCCAAAAUGGCUGGUAAAUAAAUGGCAGGAUGAUACAGUGUGACCUCUUGCGCGACGUGAAAUAUGUAUAACCCUUGGGUAACCGAUAACUACAUUCCGUUAUUUUCGUUGUAUUGUGAUUAAAAUAUAAGUUAUAAAUUCA